CGCAGGAUGAUGAAAAGGAAGUUUGAACAUACUUUCACUUUCUAAGCGCAAGAACAAGAGAGGAAAGCCAUGGCUGACAUGGUCCUGAAGUCAAAAAGGAAGGUGUUUAUCCAAUCAGUGAGUAUCGGCACAAUAAACAGCUUAUUGGAUGAACUAUUAGACAAAAAUGUGCUGAAUCAGGAGGAGAUGGAGACAGUAAAAUAUGAAAAUUACACAGCUAUGGAUAAGGCCCGAGAUUUGAUUGACUCCGUCAUUCGGAAAGGACACCAUGCAAGCCAAAUAUUUAUCAUUCAAAUUAAUGCAUGUGACCCCCACCUUGAAAAGAAGCUGGGGCUCUCCUCAGACAUGGCUGGACCAGCUGAGGCAGCAGAAGAAUCUACAGAUACCCUCAAGCUUUGUCCUCGUGAAGCAUUCCUGAAACUAUGUAAAGAAAGGGCUGGAGAGAUCUAUUCAAUAAAGGAGAGAAAGGACCGCACUCGUCUGGCUCUCAUCAUAUGCAACAGAGAGUUUCAUCAUCUUCCUAGGAGGGAAGGGGCUGAGCUUGACAUCACAGGGAUGAAGGGGCUGCUUGAGGGCCUUGGCUACAGUGUGGAAGUGCAAGAGAACCUCACAGCCAAGGAGAUGGAGUCAGUGCUGGAGUCAUUUGCUGCCCGCCCAGAGCAUAAGUCCUCAGACAGCACAUUCUUGGUGUUCAUGUCUCAUGGCAUCCUGGCAGGAAUUUGUGGGACUCUGCACAGAGAUGAAGAACCAGAUGUGCUGCCUUAUGACACCAUCUUUCGGAUGUUCAACAACUGCCACUGCCUCAGCCUAAAGGACAAACCAAAGGUCAUCAUUGUCCAGGCCUGCAGAGGUGCAAAUCGUGGGGUAUUGUGGGUCAGUGACUCUCCAGCAGCCUUGGCAGACAGCUCUUCACAGCCACAUGAGGACCUGGAGGAGGAUGCGGUUCACAGAGCACAUGUGGAGAAGGACUUCAUUGCUUUCUGCUCCUCAACCCCACAUAAUGUAUCCUGGAGAGACAUAAAAAAAGGUUCCUUCUUUAUUUCACAACUAAUCACAUGCUUUCAGAAAUAUUCUUGGUGCUGUCACCUUGAGGAAGUGUUUCGGAAGGUACAACGGUCAUUUGAACAACCAGAUGUUAAAGCCCAGAUGCCCACCAUUGAACGAUUAUCCAUGACAAGAUAUUUCUACCUGUUUCCUGGCAAUUGAAAAUAGUAAAUAUCAGAGCUGUUGGCAGUCCUGGUAACUGAAAAUAGUAACUGUUACAGUUGUUGGCAGGUGAAUUAAGUGAAAGAGUAAUAUUGGUAGUGAUGUCCAAUGUCAAAAGAUAGCCAAUUGCUUGUGUGGUCAAAUUAGUGUUACUUGUUUGUAUAGUUUGGCAAUUAGUUUUUUUUUUUGUUAUUGUUGUUCUACAUAUACCCAUCUGGAUCCUCCUCCAUCUCUACAAUGAAUUAAUCAAUUUGCCAGUCCAUCAAGGAGAUAAGCCUGAUGAUGGCAGAAAGCAAUAAACAAUGAAGGACACAGGUUGUCCCAUUUUUCCUCCAUGCCAAAAUGUAAUGGGCUGGAGGAGAAUGAGAGUGGGGAACAUGACAGAGACAAAUUGAGAAACAUGGUGAAAAUCCUGAUCACGUGGGCCUUGGUGAUCACAUGGAAAUUAAAGUCACCCAGCCCUUCUUUAUCAAUUUCCAGAAGCACCUUUACCAAUACCGCACACAUAUUUAACCUCUAUAUUUAAAUAAAAAUGAAAACAAAUAAACUGUA